rnacentral:rRNA from 1 species
UGGGGAAUCUUGCGCAAUGCGCGAAAGCGUGACGCAGCAACGCCGCGUGCGGGAAGACGGCCUUCGGGUUGUAAACCGCUUUCAGUUGGGACGAAGCUUCGCCGGUGAAUAGCCGGUUGGAGUGACGGUACCUUCAGAAGAAGCCCCGGCUAACUACGUGCCAGCAGCCGCGGUAAUACGUAGGGGGCAAGCGUUGUCCGGAAUCAUUGGGCGUAAAGCGCGUGUAGGCGGCCCGGUAAGUCCGCUGUGAAAGUCCAGGGCUCAACCCUGGGAUGCCGGUGGAUACUGUCGGGCUCGAGUCCGGAAGAGGCGAGUGGAAUUCCUGGUGUAGCGGUGAAAUGCGCAGAUAUCAGGAGGAACACCAAUGGCGAAGGCAGCUCGCUGGGACGUGACUGACGCUGAGACGCGAAAGCGUGGGGAGCAAACAGG